rnacentral:lncRNA from 1 species
UAGCGUUCCAAGAGAGGAAACAAAAAGGACUGCCAUUCAGUCCAGGAACAGACUGAGAUUCCCUCUACUGAUGGACAUUGCAUAGCUCCAGUUGGAGAGGUUUCUCCCUCCAUAUCUCAGCCUGUCAAAAAACGAUCCUUGAUUGUCAGGGUCUUUUCAGCAAUGAUGAAGCCAUUCAGGCGCUUCACCAAGAAGAACCUGUAACCUGUUACGCUGCAUGAGGAACUACUUUUGUAACAGCAAGACUUUUGACAAGAGGAAUUUCUGCAUGUCUACCCUUUCAAAGUAUAUUUGAUCAAAUAAAUGGCAAUGAUUUUACAAGAAUUUCAAGUGUUUUGGAAGAUUAGUAAAACUGAAGCAGCUUUUCUCAGAGAA